GGAAGGGUCGCAUAGAGGCCGAGUGCGCUCGCUUGGAAAGCGGGUAUACCGCAAGGUAUCGAGGGUUCGAAUCCCUCCCCUUCCG
rnacentral:tRNA from 1 species